UACAGGGGGGGCAAGCGUUGUUCGGAAUUACUGGGCGUAAAGGGCGCGUAGGCGGAUAGUUUAGUCAGAGGUGAAAGCCCAGGGCUCAACCUUGGAAUUGCCUUUGAUACUGGCUAUCUUGAGUUCGGGAGAGGUGAGUGGAAUGCCGAGUGUAGAGGUGAAAUUCGUAGAUAUUCGGCGGAACACCAGUGGCGAAGGCGACUCACUGGCCCGAUACUGACGCUGAGGCGCGAAAGCGUGGGGAGCAAACAGG
rnacentral:rRNA from 1 species